rnacentral:rRNA from 2 species
UGCUAAUACAUGCAAGUCGAGCGGACAGAAGGGAGCUUGCUCCCGGAUGUUAGCGGCGGACGGGUGAGUAACACGUGGGUAACCUGCCUGUAAGACUGGGAUAACUCCGGGAAACCGGAGCUAAUACCGGAUAGUUCCUUGAACCGCAUGGUUCAAGGAUGAAAGACGGUUUCGGCUGUCACUUACAGAUGGACCCGCGGCGCAUUAGCUAGUUGGUGAGGUAACGGCUCACCAAGGCGACGAUGCGUAGCCGACCUGAGAGGGUGAUCGGCCACACUGGGACUGAGACACGGCCCAGACUCCUACGGGAGGCAGCAGUAGGGAAUCUUCCGCAAUGGACGAAAGUCUGACGGAGCAACGCCGCGUGAGUGAUGAAGGUUUUCGGAUCGUAAAGCUCUGUUGUUAGGGAAGAACAAGUGCAAGAGUAACUGCUUGCACCUUGACGGUACCUAACCAGAAAGCCACGGCUAACUACGUGCCAGCAGCCGCGGUAAUACGUAGGUGGCAAGCGUUGUCCGGAAUUAUUGGGCGUAAAGGGCUCGCAGGCGGUUUCUUAAGUCUGAUGUGAAAGCCCCCGGCUCAACCGGGGAGGGUCAUUGGAAACUGGGAAACUUGAGUGCAGAAGAGGAGAGUGGAAUUCCACGUGUAGCGGUGAAAUGCGUAGAGAUGUGGAGGAACACCAGUGGCGAAGGCGACUCUCUGGUCUGUAACUGACGCUGAGGAGCGAAAGCGUGGGGAGCGAACAGGAUUAGAUACCCUGGUAGUCCACGCCG